rnacentral:rRNA from 1 species
GAUGAACGCUGGCGGCGUGCCUAAUACAUGCAAGUCGAGCGAACAGACGAGGAGCUUGCUCCUCUGACGUUAGCGGCGGACGGGUGAGUAACACGUGGAUAACCUACCUAUAAGACUGGGAUAACUUCGGGAAACCGGAGCUAAUACCGGAUAAUAUAUUGAACCGCAUGAUUCAAUAGUGAAAGACGGUUUUGCUGUCACUUAUAGAUGGAUCCGCGCCGCAUUAGCUAGUUGGUAAGGUAACGGCUUACCAAGGCGACGAUGCGUAGCCGACCUGAGAGGGUGAUCGGCCACACUGGAACUGAGACACGGUCCAGACUCCUACGGGAGGCAGCAGUAGGGAAUCUUCCGCAGUGGGCGAAAGCCUGACGGAGCAACGCCGCGUGAGUGAUGAAGGUCUUCGGAUCGUAAAACUCUGUUAUUAGGGAAGAACAAAUGUGUAAGUAACUAUGCACGUCUUGACGGUACCUAAUCAGAAAGCCACGGCUAACUACGU